rnacentral:ncRNA from 1 species
ACCCUGAUGUGGGGGAUAACUAUUGGAAACGAUAGCUAAUACCGCAUAAUCUCUUCGGAGCAAAGAGGGGGACCUUCGGGCCUCUCGCGUCAGGAUUAGCCCAGGUGGGAUUAGCUAGUUGGUGGGGUAAUGGCUCACCAAGGCGACGAUCCCUAGCUGGUCUGAGAGGAUGAUCAGCCACACUGGAACUGAGACACGGUCCAGACUCCUACGGGAGGCAGCAGUGGGGAAUAUUGCACAAUGGGGGAAACCCUGAUGCAGCCAUGCCGCGUGUAUGAAGAAGGCCUUCGGGUUGUAAAGUACUUUCAGUUGUGAGGAAGGCGUUG